CAAUAGCGUAUAUUAAAGUUGUUGCGGUUAGAAAGCUCGUAGUUGGAUUUCGGCGGACAGGGGGCGGUUCGAUAUUUGUCGCUACUGCCCCAUUUGUCCGUGUUUUUGGCGGAGGUUUCAGGGUGCUCUUCACCGAGUGUCCUGGGAUGCCGUCGGGUUUACUUUGAAAAAAUUAGAGUGCUCAAAGCAGGCUUUACACGCUUGAAUAUUCGUGCAUGGAAUAAUGGAAUAGGACGUCGUUUCUAUUUUGUUGGUUUUCGGAAAUCGACGUAAUGAUUAACAGGGACAGUCGGGGGCAUUAGUAUUCAGACGACAGAGGUGAAAUUCUUGGACCGUCUGAAGACUAACUACUGCGAAAGCAUUUGCCAAGAAUGUUUUCAUUAA
rnacentral:rRNA from 1 species